UACGUAGGGUGCAAGCGUUGUCCGGAAUUAUUGGCGUAAAGAGCUCGUAGGCGGUCUGUCGCGUCUGCUGUGAAAACUCAGGGCUUAACCUGAGCUUGCAGUGGUACGGGCAGACGUAGAGUGCGGUAGGGAGACUGGAAUUCCGUGGUGUAGCGGUGAAAUGCGCAGAUAUCAGGAGGAACACCGGUGGCGAAGGCGGGUCUC
rnacentral:rRNA from 1 species